GUUUCAACGGCAGUCAACUCCGUGAUUCUCCAGUCAAUCAAAGAACACAAUUUUAAAAACAUGGUAUGCAGUUUAUCUAAAGUAGCACAAACAUUUACUCACUCUCCUCCUUCACAAUCAGGUACCCUCUCUAGAUCAGGAUAAUUUGGAAGCGAGCUAUUACGGAACUUAUGGGUUAUUCUUUUCUAAUUCAUUUAAGCUUUAUUGUCUAAACGUCCGGAGUUAUGCUUGCAUGACUUUCGGUUAGAUGAUAAACUUUCUUGAAAGAAAGAAAUCCCGGAUGCGGUUUAUUGUAUUUCGAUACAAUUCAUCUACGAAUAUGUAGACUUUACAAAAAAAAAUAAAAAAAAUCUGGUAUUAAACUUGAUUACAUCA